rnacentral:rRNA from 1 species
CACGUAGGCGGAUCAGUCAGUCAGGGGUGAAAUCCCGGGGCUCAACCCCGGAACUGCCUUUGAUACCGCUGGUCUUGAGGUCGAGAGAGGUGAGUGGAAUUCCGAGUGUAGAGGUGAAAUUCGUAGAUAUUCGGAGGAACACCAGUGGCGAAGGCGGCUCACUGGCUCGAUACUGACGCUGAGGUGCGAAAGCGUGGGGAGCAAGCA